CUAUUUCUUGGGCCGCUCCCGCGGCAUAUGGAGGUUCUCAGGCUCGGGGUCGAAUUGGAGCUGUAGCCACGGGCCUCCGCCAGGGCCACAGCAACGCGGGAUCCGAGCCGCGUCUACAAGCUACACCACAGUUCACGGCAACGCAGGAUCAUUAACCCACUGAGCAAGGCCAGAGACCGAACCCACAACCUCAUGGUUCGGAUUCGUUAACCACUGCGCCACGACGGGAUCUCCGGAAGAAUUAUUCUUAAAAUGGUCAUACUACCUCCAGAGCAACCACACAUUUAAUGUGAUCCCUAUCAAAAAAACGCAUAAUGUAUUUCCACAGAACUAGAAUAAAUAAUACUAAAAUUUAUAUGGAACCACAAAGACCCAGAAUUGCCAAAGCAAUCUUGUGUAUGUGUAUGCAUGUAUGUAUAUUUACAUACAUAUAUACAAUGGAAUAUUACUAACCAAUAAAAAAUGAAACAUUGCCAUUUGCAGCAACAUAAAUAGACCCAGAGAUUAUAAGUGAAGAAAAUCAGAGAAAAACAAAUAUUAUAUGAUAUCACUUAUUUUUAGAAUCUGAAUAUAAUACAAAUGAGUCUAUAUACAAAAUAAAAAACAGUUUUACAAAUAUAGAAAACAAACUUAUGGUUACCUAAGGGAAAUGGGGGGGAUAAAUUGGAUUAAGGGACUGAAAGAUAAAAACUGCUGUACAUAAAAUAGAUAAGCAACAAGAGUUUACUGUAUAACACAGGGAACUAUAUUCAAUAUCUUAUAAUAACCUAUAAUGGAAAAUAAUCUAAAGAAAUAUAUAACUGAAUCACCUUGCUAUAACCUGAAACUAACACAAUAUUGUGAAUCAACUAUACUUCAAUUUAAAAAAAAAAGAGACAAAAUACAAUCAUCUUAACCCAUUUAGAAAUUCAUUAGGAACAAAACUAGAUUGCAAUAUUUAUAAUAUUAAGUCCAUUCCUGAUUUUCACUGGUGCAAGAGCCUAAAUCUCCUAGAUUUUUUAAUAUAACCCUGACAGGAAUUCCCAUCAUGGCUCAGCAGAAAUGAAUCUGACUAGCAUCCAUGAGGGCACAGGUUCUAUCCUUGGCCCCGUUCAGUGGGUUAAGGAUCCGGUGUUGCUGUAAGCUGUGGUAUAGCUGUGUUGCUGUGGUUGUGGCUAGCCUGGGAACCUCCAUAUACCAUGGGUGCAGCCCUAAAAAGAGACAAAUAUAUAUAUUUAUAUAUUCUGUCAGGGACAUGUAUAUCCCUGUCAGAAAUAUUUCCUGAGCCCCAGAACAGUACUGGUUUCCGUCUCUGCUCUCUGUAAGUUUCAGUCAAUCUCUAGACCCUAAGUAAAUUUUCUUGAUGCAAGCUCUCUCACUGGCAGAUCUUAGUUCCUAAGCACCAAGAAACUCUAGAUAAUUUACUCUGCAUUUUAGAAGCUUUUAGCUUAGUUCCCCUGCAGCUCUAGAACCUAUCUGGAAACAAUAAGUAUUUGAGUCUCUUCAAGCUUCCAAACUGCCAUAUCAGCCCCCUGUAACUGCUAAAAGCUCAGGUGGUCACUCUUACUCCCAGCAGAGUUCUGCUUCAUCAGCGAGCCUGCUCCUCAGGUCAUGCUCAAAAUUGGCAGAUGACUCAGGUUGAAAAAUGACUAGAGUAGUCAGCUUCUCACCUCUCAAGAUUUAGGGUUUAUCUCAUCUCUGUUACUUCUACAUUUCCCCCAUGCAUUCAGAAAUAUGAAGUUUGCAAUUUAUCUGUUGGUUUCAAGUUGUUGCAGUGGGAACAUUACCCUGUCAGCUUCUACUGUAUCCUUCUGAGAAGCAGAAGUCUACCCUAUCUAGAAGCAGAAAACCCGUUAGCAAUAUUUUGGUUGCAAGUAGCAAACAAGCCAAAGCAAACUGGCUUAAGAAAAAAGAAAUUUCUUGUUUCAGCUAACUGAAAAGUCCAUGUGUAAGUCUCCUUUCAGCCAUAGGCAAUACAGGAAUAUUUUUAAAAUCUCACUGGCUAUAGUCAGUCAUGCUCCCAUUCCUGUCUUAGUCAUCACCCAAACUAAGCGGACUUAGAGUAGGGAUGCACGACUUCUCAGAGCAAAAUAUGUAUUAUGUUAUUAGAGGAAAAACAAGUAGAUUGUGGGCAGUCAGAGCAAUUGCUCACUAUGCUUGACCAGUCCAGCUGUCAUUCAUUUAUUUGUCAUCCCAACUGCCGUAGUUUAUACCAGUCAUUUAACCACUGAAAUUCAUUAUUUUGACUUGUGUGGUGCUCAGGGUAAGCUGAAACCUAGCUUUCAAUACUCUUUUGAUACCCAAAGCAUAAAAAUUCAUGCUGGACUGUUAAUAGAUACUUAAUAAAUACCUGUGCCUUGGUCAGCCCUGGAGUAGGUUACCUGACUGCAUUUCACACUGCAGGUCAGCAGCUGAAGAAGGAUUAGUUUCUUGGUUUUUAACUCUAAUCAUGUGCUACUAAGGACUGUCAGAAGAAAGCACUUUAAAAUAAGCCAUGGGUUAUUGUUGUAUAUUUUAUAUAGUUCUCCUUUGAAGGAAAACUAAAUGUGAAAAUGGGUUGAGGAUGCCUAGCUAAUCCCUGAGCCAUUUCACUGAUGUGCAAUAUUGGGUUCAGCAUGUCUGCAUUUGCGGUGACAUCACUUAUCCCAUUUUCCACCUUCCAGGCAGGCAAUUAUGGGAGAGACUUCAGUGCUGCUCUCCAAGAGACUAGACUGAGGGCUGAAUGGAACAGCCCCACUCCCUCCCAACUACUUGAUGUGUCUCUCCCAACAAAGGAAAUGGUUUUGAAUUCUUCCUUUCACCUGCUUCUGCCAGAAAUCUCAUAAAAGAGUCUACACUUUGAGCCCGAGCUCAAAACUAGGAACUGCCUGAUACAGUCAGUGGAGGGUUAGAAUUAACAGACCAUGCUAUUUCCAGCAUAUGCGCAGAACCCACAGUGGCUGUAUUGACUAAAGCCACUUGAAAGAGAAAGACCUAAAGGAAUUAAUAAAUUAGAGCAAAUGUGUAGUGUGGUGAGCAUAGUUACUGGUGUCAGAAUCCUGGCUCUGUCAGUGGGUGGCCUUGGGCCUCACAUUUCUGAUUUGUAACAUAGAGGUACUGUAAUUAAUUGGAAUAAUGUAUGUGAAAUGCUUAGCAUGGUGCCAGGCAUAACCAAUAAAAAAUAGUCAUUACUGGUAUUUUUAUUGAACUAUGCAGGAAACUUUAUGGAUAGCAUCACCCCCUAUUUAUCACUAUGGUAAUGCUAGCAUUGCAAAAGCCACAGAUAAGUGCUAAAGAUAAGCAGAGAAAGCUUAAGGAUUUGGGUUUUUUUUAAUGUGUACAGGCGUGCUCUUCUGGCACAGCACGUUAAGGAUCCGGUGUUGUCCAUGCAUCACCUCUGGUCACUGUUGUGGCUCAGGUUUAAUCCCCGACCCAGGAACUUCCACAUGCCAUGGGUGUGGUCAAAAAAAUUUUUUUGGAAGUGUCCAUUUUUUUUCCCUGCACAUCAAAAUACCCAAACCGUUUUGAAUUUCUGCAGACCCAAGGGCAGAGGUUAUCAUUAAAAGUUAACACCAUUAACUAAGAUGGGGAAAAAUUAGAGAUACAUUCCUAUGAGUACCUAUAUCGCUCAGAACUCAUACAAAAUCUCCUUAGACUGUAGUAUACAAACUCAUAUUAAAUGCUGUUUUUUUCCUUGGAGUUCCCACUGUGGUGCAGCGGAAAUGAAUCUGACUGGUAUCCAUAAAGAUGCGGGUUCAAUCCCUGGCCUCUCUCAGAGGACUGGGGAUCCGGCGUUGCUGAAAGCUGUGGUGUAGGUUGCAGGCGCAGUUCAGAUCCCGCAUUGCUGUGGCUGCGGUAUAGGCCAGCAGCUAUAGUUCUGGUUUGACCCCUAGCCUAAAUUGAAAGCAAAGAGUGUGCAAGUUCUAUUUUGCCACGAGUUUUUACUUCUUUCCUCUUUCCCUAUUUUAAACCUCAUCCCUGAGAAUUUUCUGUUCACCUAGUUAUCGCAGAUAUUUACUCAUUUGUGGUUGAGUUGAAAAAUAUAUAUAGUAUUGGCCAGGCCCUAUGCCACAGACACGAAAUCUAUGUCCUGCCCACAGUCCAGUCCAGGUGAAGGUAAGGAAACAGAAUAUUUUAACACCGUGAGAGAAAUGUCCACAAAUUGUGAGAAAGUAACAGAAUCUGAGGGUUAAAGAAUGGAUGGGAGUCAAGAAAAGGGGUCAUGGACUGAGAAUCUUGGCAUGACCAAAGGUACAGAGGCAAGAAAUAGCUCAUCAUGGCAUGAAACUGAAAACCAUUUGAUGGUGUUCAUGCAGAAAGUUCAAAGUAGUAAGUGGCAAAAGAAUUCUGGGGAAGCAGACAAGGGCAAAAUAGUAAGGUCCCUCUCUUUUGCUUUAACAACUUUGAGCUUCUUUCUGUACAUAGUGGGGAGCCACUGAAGGGCCUUAAAAUAACAAGCGACAUGGUCAGAUUUCACAUAUUAGAUAGAUUACAGAGUGGAGGAGGUCAUUCGAGGCUGUGGCCAGAGGCAGCAAGACCAGCUAUGAAUCAUAAUAAUCACCAAUAAUCAAGGCUAGAAACCCAAAGGCCUGAAAUGCAGGCAGUGGUAGCUGACAGAGAGGAAAUUAGGGAAAGAUGUCUAGGGAAGAUGAAACUUGAUGUUUUUCCAAAAUAAUCCUUAAAAAAAAUGAGAAAACAUUUAAAAGUGAAAGAUAAAGUAUAUAAAAAAAAUAGAAACCCAUGAGUCUACAUAAUGUGUUUUCUAAGGUAGUUAAUUAUGCUAGCUCAUAUUUUACCAAAUAGGCAGCUUCAGAAAUGUUCCUGGCCUCUAUCCUAUUUCCCUUUGAUCCUGGGACAAACUUGGGGUGACACCACAUCUAGCAGUGAAGGCUCCAUCCAUGGCCUUGAUUUCUCUCCUUCUAAGCAUGAUGGUGUCAGGUUCUCAGGCUUUAGAUCUUGAGGCCAUGGCUAUGCAUCUUCCUCAUCUCCUACAACUGACAGUCAGGGUCCUGGGCCCAGAGUCCUCAAAGGAAAAAGGUGCUUCCUUAUUGGCUUCCUAAUACCUCUUCUUAGGCUUCAGGCCAUUUUUCUUCAUCUUUAUAUUUACUUCUAGCAUCUGUCUUGAUACCUUUCCUCAAAGUAGAACUUCUCAGAAUUCCAACCAGAGAAGUUCUCUGAGCCCUGACCAAUAAAUACCUUUUUAUUUUGUACUGUUUCAGAGAACACAAUGGUGGGGAGACAAAUUAUAAUCUUCAGUGGCAAAUGUAUUGUUCACUAUGGUCCCACAAACUGUGCCCUGCAGGCUAAAUCUGCUCCACUAUAUGUUUUAAUAAAGUUUUACUGGAACAGAGCCACUCUCCUUCAAUUUAGGCAUUUUCUCAGUUGCAUGGGCGCUACUGUAGCAGAGUUGAGUAGUUGUUUCCAUGAGCUGAGACUAUGUGUCUCAGAACCUUAAAAUAUGUAUCACAUGGCCCCUUUUUAUCCUCCCUUUCCCAGGGCAUGUGGAAGUCCCCAAGCUAGGGGUUGAACCCAUGCCACAGCAGUGGGAUCAUUAACCCACCAAGCCACCAAUGAACUCCUCAUAUGGCCCUUUACCAAAAAAAGUGUGUUGAACCUUUCUCUAAACCAUCAUUAAGACCGAUUUUUCUCAGUAAUUUUAUUUAUCUUAUAGUAAAUGCCCAUGUUCUUGUAGCUUUUGGAAGUCUCCCCAGCUCCCUACCACAGUUGCUAUGUCCCAACCUCAGUGCCUGUGUCCCACGGGAGGACAGUCUUCAUUUUCACCAACUCCUUCCUCAGAGUUCACAAGAGUGACUAUCCAGAAUUCUAUUAAUAAAUUCUACAAAAUUUCUACAGAAAAUUGUUUUUCAUAUAUGGUAUCAGUUUUAAAAAUUUGCUCUGAGCAGGACAUGAAAGAGUAUUGAGUGAUUAGGUCUCUAUGAAAUGGUGCAAUUAGUUUUCCUCCUUUGUUCUCUUUCCUACAAGGCAUAUCAGCAGAGCAAGAGACAUGAGAGAGGAAGCAAAACUGAAAUUCUUCAAUAAGCCGUAUACCAGACAAUCAACUCGUGAUAACUAAAUUUAGCUGAACCACUUUUCAAGGGAUAUAAAAUGUCCUUGAUUUUCCUGUAAUAUAAUAAGAUAAUUCAUAUCUGUUUUUCCUUAAAGUAGUAUUUUGUUAAGAGACAAUACCAUUUAAUGAUUUAGAAUAAGGACUCUGUUCUUUGUUAAAUACCACCAUCCUUAUUCAUUCUUUUAUGUCACUUUGUACCUCAGUUUUCUCACCUGUAAAAUAGGAAUAAUACUGUAUUAUCUAACAGUGUUUUAUCUAAUAGCGUUUUAUGAGUUAAUAUAUGCAAAAUGCUUAAAUAGAUAAAUACUGUUACUUUAUUUUUCUUUCUCACAUUCUGUUUGUCUCUAUUCUCACAGUGAUGAGUAUUUCCAUUUAGAAGAAAGUAGGGCUACAUUCUGGCUGAAUUUCUCUCAAUUUUCUCCUUGUUAGGUAGACCUCCCUCACAGUGUUCCCUCUCAUUUCACCUGCUACACUAGCCAGAUUAAACCCUCUCCUAACACCUUCACACUUAUCACAACUAAAGUUCCUACUCUUGGCAAUUGAUCUCACCAAGAAUAGAAUCAGUAGAGUGGAGGUGGAGAAGUCAAGACCUCAAAAUAGUGGCUACCUGUCCAUUUUUCCAAUGCUCACUCCCCAGACCCCAUGAGGGAAGGAGCUUUGUCUUUUUUGCUCACUCUCUGUACCAAACCCAAAGAAUGGGGCCCACGAAUAUUCAUGGAAGGAUGAAGUAAACUGCACAGGGAAGCAGAGGCCAGUGAGGGAAAGAAGGGUAAGGAUUGAGUGCUGAGCCCUCACCAGCAGCUAUUCCUCUGGUCUUGUGUCCAGUGAUCAAUAUGGAAAAUGACUAUACCAGCAGGGUAGUGAUUAUUGCUGAAGGCAUAAGCAAAAGGUGAGGGUAAAAGUUAAGCAAAAAUCAGGGGCUUGCUUUCUGGAAAGAAUGGCUCAGGUCCAAUCUUGGAUAUACUAGCAGUUUAUCAACCCCAGAUAUAUAUGUAUACAUACAUACAUAUAUAUAUAUACACACACACACAUAUAUAUAUUCUGAUCUAAUUAGUUAGAAUAUACACUGUGUGUGUGUGUGUAUCAUAGAUAUUACCUUUAAGUUUAGGUAAAUGAGCACCAUUUAUUCCUAAUUUGUCUGAUGUUUCCACUCUCCUGGUGUUUCGUAGUCAUUUAUGUUGCUAACUAGUUAUCUGCCAUUAUUAAUUCAGCAUAAGCCUAUAAAGUAUAUAUUUUAUAUCAUGCAUUCUGCUACAGAUGAGGGAUCUUUAAAAAUAAAAAUGAGUGGCACAUUGUUCCUGCGCCUUUUCUGAAGGAAUACCACUUGAAAGAAGAAGAUAUGCAAAAUGACAGGUAAUAUAACAUGAUAAGUGCUAAUCAGGGCAAGGAAGAAAGGCUACAGAGAACAGAGGAGAGAAUAAUUAUGUUCUCCUGCAAAGGAGACAUCUAUGAUGACCUUAGAAAUAGGAGAUAUUUCAGUUGAACUUUGAAGUUGAAAUGUGCCAAACAGCGAAGGAGUAUGUCAGAUAGCUGUGGAUCGGGUAAGACAAAGCAAAUUUUGGAAAUGGCAAAUUAUCUGAGUGCUUUGAAUAGAGAGAAUGUCCUAUAUAGUAAGAGGGGAUGAGACAGAGAAGAUGGUUGAGGCCAGAUCGGUAAAGUUAGUUGACAUAUGCACUAGAAGCCAUCAGAGGGAUUCUAAGGAAAAGAGCAUUGUGCCGCAUCUUACAAACUCAGCUCUGUGACUUGGGAAGAGUCCUUGAGUUCUAUCUCUAUCUAUUAGUUUCUUCAUUUGUAGGCGAUUAACAGUGCCUCUCUCUUGUGGUUGUUGUGAGGACUAAAUGAGUUAAUAUAUGCAAAGUACUUUAAAAAAGUGCCAGAUUCAUAUUAAGUGGUUUUUAAAAAUAUCUCUUAUUAUUGUCUUCAAGAGUGAACUUCUCAUUCAUGGCCCAUUGUUAAGGCAUAUUUGGAAGAGCUACCAUUUCUUUACUCCUAGGUCACCUAGAACAGUGCAUCAAUAUAGAACAUAUGCUCUGUCUCGAGUACUGUUUCUGUCAAGAUCCAGUGCCAAAGUAAGAGUUGUGUUGGCUGCACAUACAUCAGGGUGCCAGGAGCCCAGCAUGUGAGAUGACA
rnacentral:lncRNA from 1 species